rnacentral:rRNA from 1 species
GACGAACGCUGGCGGCGUGCCUAACACAUGCAAGUCGAACGGAUCCUUCGGGAUUAGUGGCGGACGGGUGAGUAACGCGUGGGAACAUACCCUUUGGUACGGGAUAGCCUCGGGAAACUGGGAGUAAUACCGUAUGUGGUCGAGAGACGAAAGAUUUAUCGCCAAAGGAUUGGCCCGCGUUGGAUUAGGUAGUUGGUGGGGUAAUGGCCUACCAAGCCGACGAUCCAUAGCUGGUUUGAGAGGAUGAUCAGCCAAACUGGGACUGAGACACGGCCCAGACUCCUACGGGAGGCAGCAGUGGGGAAUCUUAGACAAUGGGGGAAACCCUGAUCUAGCCAUGCCGCGUGAUCGAUGAAGGCCUUAGGGUUGUAAAGAUCUUUCAGGUGGGAAGAUAAUGACUGUACCACCAGAAGAAGCCCCGGCUAACUCCGUGCCAGCAGCCGCAGUAA